rnacentral:rRNA from 1 species
UGGGGAAUAUUGCACAAUGGGGGAAACCCUGAUGCAGCGACGCCGCGUGGAGGAAGAAGGUCUUCGGAUUGUAAACUCCUGUUGUUGGGGACGAUAAUGACGGUACCCAACAAGGAAGUGACGGCUAACUACGUGCCAGCAGCCGCGGUAAAACGUAGGUCACAAGCGUUGUCCGGAAUUACUGGGUGUAAAGGGAGCGCAGGCGGGAUCGCAAGUUGGAAGUGAAAUCUACGGGCUCAACCCGUAAACUGCUUUCAAAACUGCGGUUCUUGAGUAGUGCAGAGGUAGGCGGAAUUCCCGGUGUAGCGGUGGAAUGCGUAGAUAUCGGGAGGAACACCAGUGGCGAAGGCGGCCUACUGGGCACCAACUGACGCUGAGGCUCGAAAGUAUGGGUAGCAAACAGGAUUAGAUACCCUGGUAGU